GCCUUCCUAGCUCAGUCGGUAGAGCAUGAGACUCUUAAUCUUAGGAACAUGGUCUGAACCCCACAUUGGACA